rnacentral:rRNA from 1 species
ACGAACGCUGGCGGCGUGCUUAACACAUGCAAGUCGCACGGAAAGGCCCUGCUUUUGUGGGGUGCUCGAGUGGCGAACGGGUGAGUAACACGUGAGUAACCUGCCCUUGACUUUGGGAUAACUUCAGGAAACUGGGGCUAAUACCGGAUAGGAGCUCCUGCUGCAUGGUGGGGGUUGGAAAGUUUCGGCGGUUGGGGAUGGACUCGCGGCUUAUCAGCUUGUUGGUGGGGUAGUGGCUUACCAAGGCUUUGACGGGUAGCCGGCCUGAGAGGGUGACCGGCCACAUUGGGACUGAGAUACGGCCCAGACUCCUACGGGAGGCAGCAGUGGGGAAUAUUGCACAAUGGGCGGAAGCCUGAUGCAUCAACGCCGCGUGCGGGAUGACGGCCUUCGGGUUGUAAACCGCUUUCGCCUGUGACGAAGCGUGAGUGACGGUAAUGGGUAAAGAAGCACCGGCUAACUACGUG